GGCUUGGCGAUUUAUCCGGAGCUAAACUAAAUACUGCUUCCCGAAUUUUCUCCUCGUUGAAUGGGCGUUCAAGCUCAGAGGGAUCUAGAGGACCUUCUGGAUACAAUGCCGGACCUCCUGCGUCCCAUGUUAGUGAAACCUAGUAGUUAUUACUUCCUUUCUACUGUUUAUAGCAUAAUAGCAUUAGAUUACCUCUUCGAAAAGACCUAC
rnacentral:lncRNA from 1 species